UACAGAGGGUGCGAGCGUUAAUCGGAAUUACUGGGCGUAAAGCGUGCGCAGGCGGUUCGUUAAGACAGAUGUGAAAUCCCCGGGCUUAACCUGGGAACUGCAUUUGUGACUGGCGAGCUAGAGUAUGGCAGAGGGGGGGUAGAAUUCCACGUGUAGCAGUGAAAUGCGUAGAGAUGUGGAGGAAUACCGAUGGCGAAGGCAGCCCCCUGGGCCAAUACUGACGCUCAUGCACGAAAGCGUGGGGAGCAAACAGG
rnacentral:rRNA from 1 species